rnacentral:rRNA from 1 species
AUUGAACGCUGGCGGCAUGCUUUACACAUGCAAGUCGAACGGCAGCGGGGAGGAGCUUGCUUCUCUGCCGGCGAGUGGCGAACGGGUGAGUAAUACAUCGGAACGUGUCGAGAAGAGGGGGAUAACCACCCGAAAGGGUGGCUAAUACCGCAUAAAUUCUGAGGAAGAAAGCUGGGGGCCUAGGAAUAGGCCUAGCGCUUUUUGAGCGGCCGAUGUCGGAUUAGCUAGUUGGUGAGGUAAAGGCUCACCAAGGCGAAGAUCUGUAGCGGGUCUGAGAGGAUGAUCCGCCACACUGGGACUGAGACACGGCCCAGACUCCUACGGGAGGCAGCAGUGGGGAAUUUUGGACAAUGGGGGCAACCCUGAUCCAGCCAUGCCGCGUGUAUGAAGAAGGCCUUAGGGUUGUAAAGUACUUUUGUUAGGGAAGAAAAGUCAGCUGUGAAUAAUGGCUGAUACUGACGGUACCUAAAGAAUAAGCACCGGCUAACUACGUG